GUGGGGAAUUUUCCGCAAUGGGCGAAAGCCUGACGGAGCAAUACCGCGUGAGGGAUGACGGCCUAUGGGUUGUAAACCUCUUUUUUCAGGGAGGAAUCAAUGACGUGUACCUGAAGAAUAAGCAUCGGCUAACUCCGUGCCAGCAGCCGCGGUAAGACGGAGGAUGCAAGUGUUAUCCGGAAUCACUGGGCGUAAAGCGUCUGUAGGUGGUCAAAUAAGUCAACUGUUAAAUCUUGAGGCUCAACCUCAAAAUCGCAGUCGAAACUAUUCGACUAGAGUAUAGUAGGGGUAAAGGGAAUUUCCAGUGGAGCGGUGAAAUGCGUAGAGAUUGGAAAGAACACCGAUGGCGAAGGCACUUUACUGGGCUAUUACUAACACUGAGAGACGAAAGCUAGGGUAGCAAAUGGGAUUAGAAACCCGAGUAGUCC
rnacentral:rRNA from 1 species